UACGGGGGGGGCAAGCGUUGUUCGGAAUUACUGGGCGUAAAGGGCCAGUAGGCGGCCAACUAAGUCCGACGUGAAAUCCCCAGGCUUAACCUGGGAACUGCGUCCGAUACUGGAUGGCUUGAAUCCGGGAGAGGGAUGCGGAAUUCCAGGUGUAGCGGUGAAAUGCGUAGAUAUCUGGAGGAACACCGGUGGCGAAGGCGGCAUCCUGGACCGGCAUUGACGCUGAGGAGCGAAAGCCAGGGGAGCAAACGGGG
rnacentral:rRNA from 1 species